AGAGUUUGAUCCUGGCUCAGAACGAACGCUGGCGGCAUGCCUAACACAUGCAAGUCGAACGAAGCCUUCGGGCUUAGUGGCGCACGGGUGCGUAACGCGUGGGAAUCUGCCCUUAGGUACGGAAUAACUCAGGGAAACUUGUGCUAAUACCGUAUGAUGUCGAGAGACCAAAGAUUUAUCGCCUAGGGAUGAGCCCGCGUAGGAUUAGCUAGUUGGUGGGGUAAAGGCCUACCAAGGCGACGAUCCUUAGCUGGUCUGAGAGGAUGAUCAGCCACACUGGGACUGAGACACGGCCCAGACUCCUACGGGAGGCAGCAGUGGGGAAUAUUGGACAAUGGGGGCAACCCUGAUCCAGCAAUGCCGCGUGGGUGAUGAAGGCCUUCGGGUUGUAAAGCCCUUUCGGCGGGGACGAUGAUGACGGUACCCGCAGAAGAAGCCCCGGCUAACUUCGUG
rnacentral:rRNA from 1 species